rnacentral:misc_RNA from 1 species
UACGGAGGGUGCAAGCGUUGUCCGGAAUCACUGGGUGUAAAGGGUGUGUAGGUGGGACAGUAAGUCAGGGGUGAAAGCCCGCGGCCUAACCGCGGAACUGCCUUUGAUACUGGCGAUCUUCGAGUCCGGGAGAGGUGGGUGGAACUGCGAGUGUAGAGGUGAAAGUCGUAGAUAUUCGCAAGAACACCAGUGGCGAAGGCGGCUCACUGGCUCGAUACUGACGCUGAGGUGCGAAAGCGUGGGGAGCAAACAGG